rnacentral:rRNA from 1 species
GACAGAGGGUGCAAACGUUGCUCGGAAUUACUGGGCGUAAAGCGCGUGUAGGCGGGCCCUCAAGUCGGACGUGAAAGCCCCGAGCUCAACUCGGGAACUGCAUCCGAAACUGAGGGCCUGGAGUAGUGGAGAGGGAAGCAGAAUUCCUGGUGUAGAGGUGAAAUUCGUAGAUAUCAGGAGGAACACCGGUGGCGAAGGCGGCUUCCUGGACACUUACUGACGCUGAGACGCGAAAGCGUGGGGAGCGAACAGG